UUAAACAUUAAGUUGUUAAUAACUUUAAAAUCAUCCUACUGAUUUUGUGGUUUAUAUUUGGAUUAUAAGAUAAAGACAAUUAACUAGACAAGUGCUUAAAGUGUGCAUAACAAAAGCACAAAAAUGUCCGCAAAAUCGCGCACAUAUUUGAUAUAGUCAAAAAUCAUAAACUAAAUAUGAUAAAUGUAUCAAUUAACAUGUUCCCAGUAAGAUAACAAUGAGAACAAAAUCUUUUAACAAAACAUCAUUAAAAAAAUAGAAGACGUUGUGUUAACAAACAUAGAUAAGAUACUUAAACACAACAUCAUCAUUAAACUAUAUGUAUGAUACUCUAACACAAUAUCAUCACAAACUAACUAUAAGAUAUAAGAGAGAUGUCUUAAAUACUCUCAACAUCUUUAAGCUCUUCAUAUGUGUGAGAGAUUGCUCCACUUAAUUUCUUACACAAUUAGGUUUGUUACUUUUCAUCAUUUUAAAAUCUUUUCAAUUGAAAGUAAGUUUUUGUAUACAUUUGAUCAAAUAUUUUCAAACUGAUUAUAAACCUAAAUUUGAUAAUUUG
rnacentral:sRNA from 1 species